rnacentral:rRNA from 1 species
UGGUGGGUAGUUUGACUGGGGCGGUCUCCUCCUAAAGAGUAACGGAGGAGCACGAAGGUUGGCUAAUCCUGGUCGGACAUCAGGAGGUUAGUGCAAUGGCAUAAGCCAGCUUGACUGCGAGCGUGACGGCGCGAGCAGGUGCGAAAGCAGGUCAUAGUGAUCCGGUGGUUCUGAAUGGAAGGGCCAUCGCUCAACGGAUAAAAGGUACUCCGGGGAUAACAGGCUGAUACCGCCCAAGAGUUCAUAUCGACGGCGGUGUUUGGCACCUCGAUGUCGGCUCAUCACAUCCUGGGGCUGAAGUAGGUCCCAAGGGUAUGGCUGUUCGCCAUUUAAAGUGGUACGCGAGCUGGGUUUAGAACGUCGUGAGACAGUUCGGUCCCUAUCUGCCGUGGGCGCUGGAGAACUGAGGGGGGCUGCUCCUAGUACGAGAGGACCGGAGUGGACGCAUCACUGGUGUUCGGGUUGUCAUGCCAAUGGCACUGCCCGGUAGCUAAAUGCGGAAGAGAUAAGUGCUGAAAGCAUCUAAGCACGAAACUUGCCCCGAGAUGAGUUCUCCCUGACUCCUUGAGAGUCCUGAAGGAACGU